rnacentral:snoRNA from 1 species
GGAUCGAUGGUGACUUGCACGUGUGUCUUCCCCGUUGGAAAGCUGAACAAAAUGGGUGCAAACUCUGUAGCGUCAUCCCCUUCAAAGUGAGGUCC